rnacentral:ncRNA from 2 species
AUAUUGAGUAAAUAAAAAACUUGUAUAUACUUGUGUAUGUAUCGGGCAAGAGUUUCUACGGUUAACCGUUAUUAACCGCUACAAGUUAAAGAUAUGAAGCG